rnacentral:rRNA from 1 species
AGAGUUUGAUCCUGGCUCAGGAUGAACGCUAGCUACAGGCUUAACACAUGCAAGUCGAGGGGCAGCGGUAUCGAAAGCUUGCUUUCGGUAGCCGGCGACCGGCGCACGGGUGAGUAACGCGUAUCGAACCUGCCUCAUACUCGGGAAUAGCCUUGCGAAAGUAAGAUUAAUGCCCGGUGUUUUCAGAGUCCCGCAUGAGGCUUUGAACAAAGAUUUAUCGGUAUGAGAUGGCGAUGCGUCCCAUUAGCUUGUUGGCGGGGUAACGGCCCACCAAGGCAUCGAUGGGUAGGGGUUCUGAGAGGAAGGUCCCCCACAUUGGAACUGAGACACGGUCCAAACUCCUACGGGAGGCAGCAGUGAGGAAUAUUGGUCAAUGGGCGGAAGCCUGAACCAGCCAAGUAGCGUGCAGGAAGACGGCCCUCCGGGUUGUAAACUGCUUUUAGUUGGGAAUAAAACGGGGCUCGUGAGCCCCCUUGCAUGUACCAUCAGAAAAAGGACCGGCUAAUUCCGUGCCAGCAGCCGCGGUAAUACGGAAGGUCCGGGCGUUAUCCGGAUUUAUUGGGUUUAAAGGGAGCGCAGGCGGACCUUUAAGUCAGCUGUGAAAUACGGCGGCUCAACCGUCGAACUGCAGUUGAUACUGGAGGUCUUGAGUGCACACAGGGAUGCUGGAAUUCAUGGUGUAGCGGUGAAAUGCUCAGAUAUCAUGAAGAACUCCGAUCGCGAAGGCAGGCAUCCGGGGUGCAACUGACGCUGAGGCUCGAAAGUGCGGGUAUCAAACAGGAUUAGAUACCCUGGUAGUCCGCACAGUAAACGAUGAAUACUCGCGGUUUGCGAUAGACUGUAAGCCGCCAAGCGAAAGCGUUAAGUAUUCCACCUGGGGAGUACGCCGGCAACGGUGAAACUCAAAGGAAUUGACGGGGGCCCG